CUUUUCUUGAUUCGCUCAAGAACAGCAAUUCUGCGAUUCAUCGAUCCAUUGCUCUUAUUGUCGUGGACGAGUCUCAUACUGUGGAAACGUGGACGGGGAAAAGAAGUAAAAGAGGAUCAAGCAUCCAGAGUGAAGCAUUCAGAGAUGCUUAUGGCAAACUGGCAAUUCUGAGAUCAAUGUGUAAAGAACGAACACCUGUUUUAGCACUAACUGGCACUGCUGAUGAGGUGACACAGAAGGUCAUUUGUUCCAAUUUGGCAAUAACUGAUGCAACAAAGUUGUUUGUCAGUCCAAAUCGAACAAAUUUGAGAUUUGACAUAAACAAGGUGCCAAAAACACUUAUGCUUUCCAAACUGG